rnacentral:tRNA from 1 species
GGGGAUGUAGUUUAGUGAUAGAGCACUUGCCUAGUAUGCAUGAGGCCCUGGGUUCAAUCCCCAGUACUGCAA